GACGAACGCUGGCGGCGUGCUUAACACAUGCAAGUCGAACGGCAAGGCCCUGCUUUUGUGGGGUGCUCGAGUGGCGAACGGGUGAGUAACACGUGAGUAACCUGCCCUUGACUUUGGGAUAACUUCAGGAAACUGGGCCUAAUACCGGAUAGGAGCUCCUGUUGCAUGGUGGGGGUUGGAUAGUUUCGGCGGUUGGGGAUGGACUCGCGGCUUAUCAGCUUGUUGGUGGGGUAGUGGCUUACCAAGGCUUUGACGGGUAGCCGGCCUGUGUGGGUGGCCGGCCACAUGGGGACUGAGAUACGGCCCAGACUCCUACGGGAGGCAGCAGUGGGGAAUAUUGCACAAUGGGCGGAAGCCUGAUGCAGCAACGCCGCGGGCGGGAUGACGGCCUGCGGGUUGUGAACCGCUUUCGCCUGUGACGAAGCGUGAGUGACGGUAAUGGGUAAAGAAGCACCGGCUAACUACGUG
rnacentral:rRNA from 1 species